rnacentral:misc_RNA from 1 species
CACCAAUCAAGCCUGGCUUGGUAUUGGGCACCGGGGGAGACCCGGGCCUCAAAGUCGCCGGCUGGAAAGCUCUGAUCUCAGCGUCGUGGUUAAACAAUUCGCGAGGAGAGGAGUAAUCUGUGCCGUUAAACUUCAAUCAAA